rnacentral:tRNA from 2 species
GCCCAGGUGAUGGAAUGGCAGACAUAACUGACUUAAAAUCAGUUGGUUAAUCCGUGCGGGUUCGAGUCCCGCCCUGGGCACCA